ensembl:lncRNA
UGUUUGUGUUGAGGGUGGUGAGGAUACUGUUCUGUGUGUGUGUUAGUGGUUAGGGUGGUGAGGGUACGUUCUGUGUGUUUGUGUUAGGGUGGUGAGGAUACGUUCUGUUUGUUUGUGUCUAGGGUGGUGGUGAGGAUACUGUUCUGUGUUGUUUGUGUUAGGGUGGUGAGGAUACUGUUCUGUGUUUGUGUUAG